rnacentral:rRNA from 1 species
GACGAACGCUGGCGGCGUGCCUAAUACAUGCAAGUCGAACGCAGUGGGGACGGGUGAGUAACACGUGGGUAACCUCCCAUCAGAGGGGAUAACACUUGGAAACAGGUGCUAAACCUAUACUGAUGGAUGGACCCGCGGUGCAUUAGCUAGUUGGUGAGGUAACGGCUCACCAAGGCCACGAUGCAUAGCCGACCUGAGAGGGUGAUGAGCCACACUGGGACUGAGACACGGCCCAGACUCCUACGGGAGGCAGCAGUAGGGAAUCUUCGGCAAUGGACGAAAGUCUGAUCGAGCAAUGCCGCGUGAGUGAAGAAGGUUUUCGGAUCGUAAAACUCUGUUGGUGGAGAAGCGGUAUCUAACCAGAAAGCCACGGCUAACUCCGUGCCAGCCGCCGCGGUAAUAC